rnacentral:tRNA from 1 species
AGCAGCCUGGCAGAUGGGACUGCUGGCCUGCUUCGGGAGCGGCGUGAUCGAAUUCCUGGGGGCCUUUGUGGCGGAUCGGGUCCGUCGGCUGACACC